GACGAACGCUGGCGGCGUGCUUAACACAUGCAAGUCGAACGAAGAGCGAUGGAAGCUUGCUUCUAUCAAUCUUAGUGGCGAACGGGUGAGUAACGCGUAAUCAACCUGCCCUUCAGAGGGGGACAACAGUUGGAAACGACUGCUAAUACCGCAUACGAUCUAAUCUCGGCAUCGAGGAUAGAUGAAAGGUGGCCUCUACAUGUAAGCUAUCACUGAAGGAGGGGAUUGCGUCUGAUUAGCUAGUUGGAGGGGUAACGGCCCACCAAGGCGAUGAUCAGUAGCCGGUCUGAGAGGAUGAACGGCUACAUUGGGACUGAGACACGGCCCAGACUCCUACGGGAGGCAGCAGUGGGGAAUCUUCCGCAAUGGACGAAAGUCUGACGGAGCAACGCCGCGUGAGUGAUGACGGCCUUCGGGUUGUAAAGCUCUGUUAAUCGGGACGAAAGGCCUUCUUGCGAAUAGUGAGAAGGAUUGACGGUACCGGAAUAAAAAGCCACGGCUAACUACGUG
rnacentral:rRNA from 1 species